CAUGUAGGCGGUCUGUCAAGUCUGAUGUGAAAGCCCUGGGCUCAACCCCGGAAGUGCAUUGGAAACUGGCAGACUUGAGUACGGGAGAGGAAAGUGGAAUUUCGAGUGUAGGGGUGAAAUCCGUAGAUAUUCGAAGGAACACCAGUGGCGAAGGCGGCUUUCUGGACCGAUACUGACGCUGAGAUGCGAAAGCGUGGGGAGCGAACAGGAUUAGAUACCCUGGUAGUCC
rnacentral:rRNA from 1 species